UUUUCUUAAGAUUUAUUUUG
rnacentral:miRNA from 1 species